CCUACGGGUGGCAGCAGUGGGGGAUAUUGGACAAUGGGGGAAACCCUGAUCCAGCGAUGCCGCGUGAGGGAAGAAGGUUUUCGGAUUGUAAACCUCUGUGGAGGGGGACGAUAAUGACGGUACCCCUUUAGGAAGCCACGGCUAACUACGUGCCAGCAGCCGCGGUAAUACGUAGGUGGCGAGCGUUGUCCGGAUUUACUGGGUGUAAAGGGAGCGUAGACGGCAGCGCAAGUCUGGAGUGAAAUCCCAUGGCUUAACCAUGGAACUGCUUUGGAAACUGUGCAGCUAGAGUGCAGGAGAGGUAAGCGGAAUUCCUAGUGUAGCGGUGAAAUGCGUAGAUAUUAGGAGGAACACCAGUGGCGAAGGCGGCUUACUGGACUGUAACUGACGUUGAGGCUCGAAAGCGUGGGGAGCAAACAGGAUUAGAUACCCCAGUAGUC
rnacentral:rRNA from 1 species